rnacentral:ncRNA from 1 species
GUAAGAUAAAAAAACUCGUAUAUAAUCGGUAAUAUGGUCCGAAUGUUUCUACCUACUAACCUUAAAUUAGUAGACUACGGGGAGUUG